AGUCGAACGGCAGCGCGGGAGCAAUCCUGGCGGCGAGUGGCGAACGGGUGAGUAAUACAUCGGAACGUGCCCAAUCGUGGGGGAUAACGCAGCGAAAGCUGUGCUAAUACCGCAUACGAUCUACGGAUGAAAGCAGGGGAUCGCAAGACCUUGCGCGAAUGGAGCGGCCGAUGGCAGAUUAGGUAGUUGGUGAGGUAAAGGCUCACCAAGCCUUCGAUCUGUAGCUGGUCUGAGAGGACGACCAGCCACACUGGGACUGAGACACGGCCCAGACUCCUACGGGAGGCAGCAGUGGGGAAUUUUGGACAAUGGGCGAAAGCCUGAUCCAGCCAUGCCGCGUGCAGGAUGAAGGCCUUCGGGUUGUAAACUGCUUUUGUACGGAACGAAGCGGUCUUUUCUAAUAAAGAAGGCUAAUGACGGUACCGUAAGAAUAAGCACCGGCUAACUACGUGCCAGCAGCCGCGGUAAUACGUAGGGUGCAAGCGUUAAUCGGAAUUACUGGGCGUAAAGCGUGCGCAGGCGGUUAUGUAAGACAGUUGUGAAAUCCCCGGGCUCAACCUGGGAACUGCAUCUGUGACUGCAUAGCUAGAGUACGGUAGAGGGGGAUGGAAUUCCGCGUGUAGCAGUGAAAUGCGUAGAUAUGCGGAGGAACACCGAUGGCGAAGGCAAUCCCCUG
rnacentral:rRNA from 1 species